GAGAAAGACCAAAAGGAAAUCCCGGAUGAGCCCCCACUUGUAGUACUACCCCUGAAAGAGCUGCUGGAAUCCGGGUUCUCCUGGCCCUCUUGGACUGAUACAAAUAUGAGGGUACUGCAUAGCCUGGAAUUGUGAUCAUAACUGACACCUCCAGUAAAAUUAUGAAUCAUCUUUACUCAUUGAAUAGAAGAUUGGGCAUUUUUGAUGUUUCACAACCAGUUCUGCAAGAUAACUGAUUUUUUUCCCCAAUGGAUAGAUCUACAAGACCAAAGUCAAAAAGAAACGCAGUGUCAUUGGCUUUGGGGAUGCUGUUUCCGCGGCCCUCUUCCUGUCCGCCGGAUCCUUGGAGCUCACACUUCGUUGCGGCGAAGGGGUCACACUCCCCCUCCUCGCCUCCAAAGAAAGCCCCUCUCCCAACCUCUCCGGGGCUGAGAACGGCAAAAAAAAGCCAUGGAGGAUCUGGAAAAACGCUCGUCGCUGCGGAGCUAAUGCAACAAUGAUCUUUCCGCCCUGACAGCUGCACCGGAAGUCAGGUGUUGUCUGUGAAUUUGAUUUAUGUACACUAUACUGUUAUAAAUGAUUCAAUAUGGAAAAAUCA